rnacentral:rRNA from 1 species
GAUGAACGCUAGCUACAGGCUUAACACAUGCAAGUCGAGGGACCGGCGCACGGGUGAGUAACGCGUAUCCAACCUGCCAAUAAGUAGGGUAUAACCCGCAGAAAUGCGGACUAAACCCCUAUGCUUAUGGAUGGGGAUGCGUCCGGUUAGCUUGUGGGUGAGGUAACGGCACACCAAGGCUUCGAUCGGUAGGGGUUCUGAGCGUAAGGACCCCCACAUAGGAACUGAGACACGACUCUUACGCGAACAGGAGGCAGCAGUGAGGAAUGAUGGGAAAUGGGCGAGAGCGUGAACCAGCCAAGUAGCGCUCAGGAUGACGGCCUAGGGGUUGUAAACUGCUUUUAUGAGGGGAUAGGUACCGCAGGAAUAAGGACCGGCUAAUGGCGUGCCAGCAGCCGCGGUAAUAC